GGGCCUGUAGCUCAGCUGGUUAGAGCACACGCUUGAUAAGCGUGGGGUCACUAGUUCGAAUCUAGUCAGGCCCA
rnacentral:tRNA from 2 species